rnacentral:lncRNA from 1 species
CAUGAAGGAGAGACGCGAUGAGAGUUUGAGAGAGAAAGAGCUCUGUCUUCGUGAGGAAGACAAACGAAACCUGGAUUUCGUGCCCUCCCCCAAAUCAUUUCCUUUUUUAUUUUUAUUCAUUUUUUCUUUCCUAAGAGCAUUUAAAAUCCUUUUUAAUUUUUUUUCUUUUUUUAAUGACCGUUCAGUUUUUAUUUUGCAACCUUUCCAUUAAUUACUAUAUGAUGGAGUUAAUGGCAUUAACUUGUGGUUAUCUCAAACCCAAC